rnacentral:rRNA from 1 species
GUCUUGUAAUUGGAAUGAUGGUGACCUAAACCCUCACCAGAGUAACAAUUGGAGGGCAAGUCUGGUGCCAGCAGCCGCGGUAAUUCCAGCUCCAAUAGCGUAUAUUAAACUUGUUGCAGUUAAAAAGCUCGUAGUUGAAUUUUUGCGUGGUGUUAAUAUUGACUGAUGUCGAGAUUGCACUUCGCUUUUGGGAUUUAUCCCUCUUUACUUUGAGAAAAUUAGAGUGUUUCAAGCAGACUUUUGUCUUGAAUACUUCAGCAUGGAAUAAUAGAGUAGGACUUUGGUUCUAUUUUGUUGGUUUGUGAACCUUAGUAAUGGUUAAUAGGAACGGUUGGGGGCAUUCGUAUUUAACUGUCAGAGGUGAAAUUCUUAGAUUUGUUAAAGACGAACUACUGCGAAAGCAUUUGCCAAGGACGUUUUCAUUAAUCAAGAACGAAAGUUAGGGGAUCGAAGACGAUCAGAUACCGUCGUAGUCCUAACCAUAAACUAUGCCGACUAGGGAUUGGAGGUCGUCAUUUUUCCGACUCCUUCAGCACCUUGAGAGAAAUCAAAGUCUUUGG